UACGACUACAUAUCAGGCAUAUCAAUAAGCGGAGGAAAAGAAACUAACAAGGAUUCCCCUAGUAACGGCGAGUGAAGCGGGAAGAGCUCAAAUUUGAAAUCUUAAAGGGUUUCCCUUUACGAAUUGUAGUUUAAAGAAGUGUUUUCUGUUGGAGUUUCGGUAAAAGUUCUUUGGAAUAGGACAUCAUAGAGGGUGAGAAUCCCGUAUUUGACCGUUACUUUCCAGCUGCGUGAUACACUUUCGAAGAGUCGGAUUGUUUGGGAAUGCAGUCCAAGAUGGGUGGUAAAUUUCAUCUAAAGCUAAAUAUUGGCGAGAGACCGAUAGCGAACAAGUACCGUGAGGGAAAGAUGAAAAGAACUUUGAAAAGAGAGUUAAACAGUACGUGAAAUUGUCAAAAGGGAAGCGUUUGACACCAGUGUUGUUUAGUUGAAAAUCAAUUCAAUAGUUUUUGAUUCUAAGUAGUAUUGACUUCAUCAGCUUGCUGCUUUCUUCUCAGAAAUUAUUGAAUGCACUUUUCAGUUAACAAGUCAACAUCAAUUUCUUUUGUUGUAAAAGGGUAAGAGGAAGGUGGCUUGCGCUUCGGCUCAAGUGUUUAUAGCCUUUUAUCUCUGCAAUCGGAGAGAUUGAGGUCUGCAGCGUAGAUCCUUCGGGGUUAGAUACAUUGGUGCUAAGCUAUAGCCUUGUAUAGACAACUUGUUGACUAUGUUAGUCAUGUCGCUUACUCGCUUGAUGCUAUUUUACCUACGCUUAGGAUGUUGAGUAGCGACAUACGCAC
rnacentral:rRNA from 1 species